CCUACGGGAGGCAGCAGUGGGGAAUAUUGCACAAUGGGCGAAAGCCUGAUGCAGCGACGCCGCGUGAGGGACGACGGCCUUCGGGUUGUAAACCUCUUUCAGCAGGGACGAAGCGCAAGUGACGGUACCUGCAGAAGAAGCACCGGCUAACUACGUGCCAGCAGCCGCGGUAAUACGUAGGGUGCAAGCGUUGUCCGGAAUUACUGGGCGUAAAGAGUUCGUGGGCGGUUUGUCACGUCGUUUGUGAAAACUCACAGCUCAACUGUGAGCCUGCAGGCGAUACGGGCAGACUUGAGUACUGCAGGGGAGACUGGAAUUCCUGGUGUAGCGGUGAAAUGCGCAGAUAUCAGGAGGAACACCGGUGGCGAAGGCGGGUCUCUGGGCAGUAACUGACGCUGAGGAACGAAAGCGUGGGUAGCGAACAGGAUUAGAUACCCUGGUAGUCCACGCCGUAAACGGUGGGCGCUAGGUGUGGGUUCCUUCCACGGAAUCCGUGCCGUAGCUAACGCAUUAAGCGCCCGCUGGGGAUCGGCCGCAAGGCUAAAACUCAAAGGAAUUGACGGCNGAGACGNGCGAGACGACGACGAGGGAGAG
rnacentral:rRNA from 1 species